rnacentral:rRNA from 1 species
UACGGAGGGUGCAAGCGUUGUCCGGAAUCACUGGGCGUAAAGGGCGCGUAGGCGGCUCAUGAAGGCUGUGGUGAAAGUCCGGGGCUCAACCUCGGAUCGGCCGUGGCGACUCGUGGGCUGGAGCACUGUAGAGGCGGGUGGAAUUCCGGGUGUAGCGGUGGAAUGCGCAGAUAUCAGGAGGAACACCGGUGGCGAAGGCGGGUCUCUGGGCCGAUACUGACGCUGAGGAGCGAAAGCGUGGGGAGCGAACAGG